rnacentral:lncRNA from 1 species
CUUACCAAUCGUUCAAGCAACGACUAAUUUUUUAAGCGUCCUUAACUAUUCCAUUUUUAAGUUAUUCUACACAUUUCGUCCUGCUUUCUUCUUGCCCAAUCUCAAUUCUUGUAUAAAUUGAUACAUUUGAAGGGUUUUCAUCACUAUUACAUCCUUUAACAUCUCGCAUUUUCAUAAAAAUCAACUGUAAUUUCUAAAACCCUAGUUUUCGCACCUUUUCUCAAUUUUUUGGGCUUUUCAUCUUUUUCUUGGUUAUAACUUCAUUCCUUUCUUGCUACAUUGCUUCAUUUUGUUCAUUUUCCUUGGUAUUACAUUCUGUGUUCAUGAUUGCUUUAAUUGCAUAAACCAACAUCGAUGUUUUCCAUUUAUUCAGGUGUUCAUAUGGUGCUAUCUUUUUUAUUUUCCCCUUUGUCGUAUUUUGGAUUAGUGGACAAGGAUUAUGUGGCUUUGUGAUUGCCUAUGGAUUGGUGCAUUUUGGUGUCUUUGAAAUGUUGAAUUCUCGUGGAAUGUUGGUCGGUUUCUCAUGCAUGUCAAGUGUUUGACAAAUUGUCCAUUCCAUGAACUUGGUGAAUUUUUGGCCCAAAUUUCCACACACCAUUCAAGACCUACGUCAUCGUCCUAUUUGAGUACUUUUGUGUCAUAUUGUCCUCCCAAUCAUUAGAUGUCACAUCAAGAACAUGUCACAAGUGAUUGGGACUUCUGUCUUGACACCAUGUCGCCUGCGUCUUGACACCACAUCACUUCCACCAUAACACCGCAUCAGUUUGUCUUAACGUUGUGUCACUUACGUCUUGACACCAUGUCACCAUGUGUCUUGCGGUUAAGUUUUCACUUUCGGACUUAGUCUAUGUCACAUGGUUUUGCAUCGUUUUUGUGUGCUUUUCAUCACUAUUGCAUGAAUUUUGCCUCGUUUAACGUACAUUCGUGCAUAUCAUAUUUUAGGUGGUCUACGAUGGCUCUAGUAUCUUGGUUUUUACUUCUGAUAACUUGUACCUGUCUAAGCGAGCUUGAACUUCUACACAACCAUCUAGUGGAUCUAUCUCUUAUAGUAGGUCUAAGUUCAUCUCCUUCACUGCUCACGAGAUCUUUGGGUCUCAGUUUUCUCUCCGCCCUAUUCUUAUAGAGUGUGAGUUAAUUCUUUCUGACUCUCUUUCGAUCUUGCAGCCAUUUUCACUUCCUGGGGCUGGGAGCCCUCUUUGAUGGACUUGUCCCCACCACCUAGUCUCUUAGUUUAGGAGUUUUAUGUGAACAUUCAUGUGAUUAGUGGGUCUUCAUUUAAGGUCUUCCUUCAGGGUACGACUAUUAGGAUUAUACCUGAUGUCAUUUCGAGCACUUUACACAUUCCACAUGUCACUCAUCCCAUCUUUCCCGAUUCAUCUGCUAAUAUCCUCCGACCGACUGAUCGCUAGAUUUUGUUGUACAUUUGUGUGCACGAAUUGUGAUUGGUCUCUUAUACCUCUUCCUUACCUAUGGAGAAGGCAAGGUUUUUAUAUGCUUUGUUAUACAAUGACUCUAUUGAUCUAUCCACUCUCAUCUAUCACCACAUUUUGCACACCUUCAGGGUCUCGGGUCAUAAGAUAGGUCUUCUUUAUGUCUGUUUGAUUCACCGCCUAGUUAGAUCCUUGGGGAUCACAUUUCCUGACGAAGGUCUCUGGCUGUGAUAGUCAUUCUAUGGGCCAGGUCAUCAUUUUCUAGAGUCGAUCUCAUGUACCUUCAUCUUUUGCUCUUAUUGAGGCUGUAGAGCCUGUUGACUUGGCAGUGCCUAGUGAUCCCAUAAGUGAUCUUCCUUCUAGCGGUACUCUAGAUAUCACUGUUCCUCCAUCUCAGCCCACUAUCCUUUCUGAUAUUCCAUCAUCAUCUACUUCAAUUUCACCUCUUCUAGCUGAGUCCAUUCUUGGGUCUGCCUCUGUUCCUAUUGAUCCUUUGAUUGCACUAUGGGUAUCAUGUGCUUAUCAAGCAGCGAGCUUGUAUGAUGGCUGAGAUCCCACAGCUGCUUCUAAGUGUCACACUGUUGAGUUACUACCCCUUCAUGGAGCAAUUUCAUAUGUUCAAUGAGCUAUUUGAUGGAUGCGCGAGAAUUGGUAUUAUUACAGUGACGAUGAGUCCGACGAUGCUGAUGAUGGUAACAAUGCUGCUGCUAAAAGUUGAUAGGGAUCCUCUUAUAGUUUGUGAAGAAAAGGGAGAGUAGUUGUAGAGGGUUGACUUAGGAUGUACUUUGACAAUAUUUUAUGUAUAUUUGGCAUGUUAGUUGACACAUAGCUUGAUUAAGUUUUUUUGUUGUUUUUGCAAUAUUAACGUUUACUGUUUUGGUGGUUUUUUUUUAUGUUUUUGCAAUACUAACGUUUGUUGUUUUGGUG